rnacentral:ncRNA from 2 species
UACGUAGGUGGCAAGCGUUGUCCGGAAUUAUUGGGCGUAAAGCGCGCGCAGGCGGUCUUUUAAGUCUGAUGUGAAAUCUCGGGGCUCAACCCCGAGCGGUCAUUGGAAACUGGGAGACUUGAGUACAGAAGAGGAGAGUGGAAUUCCACGUGUAGCGGUGAAAUGCGUAGAUAUGUGGAGGAACACCAGUGGCGAAGGCGACUCUCUGGUCUGUAACUGACGCUGAGGCGCGAAAGCGUGGGGAGCAAACAGG